CAGCCGCCGCGGGAAUACGGAGGGUGCAAGCGUUAAUCGGAAUUACUGGGCGUAAAGCGCACGCAGGCGGUUUGUUAAGUCAGAUGUGAAAUCCCCGAGCUUAACUUGGGAACUGCAUUUGAAACUGGCAAGCUAGAGUCUUGUAGAGGGGGGUAGAAUUCCAGGUGUAGCGGUGAAAUGCGUAGAGAUCUGGAGGAAUACCGGUGGCGAAGGCGGCCCCCUGGACAAAGACUGACGCUCAGGUGCGAAAGCGUGGGGAGCAAACAGGAUUAGAUACCCCUGUAGUCCCUGUCUCUUAUAC
rnacentral:rRNA from 1 species